UAGGGAAUCUUCCGCAAUGGGCGAAAGCCUGACGGAGCAACGCCGCGUGAGUGAUGAAGGUCUUCGGAUCGUAAAACUCUGUUAUUAGGGAAGAACAAAUGUGUAAGUAACUAUGCACGUCUUGACGGUACCUAAUCAGAAAGCCACGGCUAACUACGUGCCAGCAGCCGCGGUAAUACGUAGGUGGCAAGCGUUAUCCGGAAUUAUUGGGCGUAAAGCGCGCGUAGGCGGUUUUUUAAGUCUGAUGUGAAAGCCCACGGCUCAACCGUGAAGGGUCAUUGGAAACUGGAAAACUUAAGUGCAGAAGAGGAAAGUGGAAUUCCAUGUGUAGCGGUGAAAUGCGCAGAGAUAUGGAGGAACACCAGUGGCGAAGGCGACUUUCUGGUCUGUAACUGACGCUGAUGUGCGAAAGCGUGGGGAUCAAACAGG
rnacentral:rRNA from 1 species